CAGAUAUGUCUCUGAACUAAAAGAAUGUAUCAUCUUAGGGACAAGAGGACUGGGUUUUAAUGAACCUUUCUAAGAAUGGCAGGUUCCCAGUCCAACCAGGAAGAGUUGUCAAAAGUGGAAACAACUGGCAGGAGAGGAGAAUCCUUGAAGGAGAACUAGGAUUACAGUUACUGUUCUUUAAGCUUAAAAUGAGCUUCAAUCAAGAGGAAGAAGGAAAAUUGCUUAAGUCAGACCCGACAGCUAAAGCUGCACAUCUGGCAGUGGUGAGUGGCCCUCAGUCUCCACUGAGGGACACUGAGUGUCUCCAGCAUCUCAAUAGGAAGCUUCCUGCAGACCAACUAUAAUCUAUUGGCACCCAAGUGGGGAGUUUCUAUGGGCCAGCUUCAACCCAUGACACCCUAGUAAAAGUCACCAACAUCCGAACAUGUGACCUCCUGCAGACCAGCUCUGGCCCACAGGACCCAGUGAAGUUCUCUGCUCUUCAGCAGGUAGCAGUUGUGCCCUCUCCAGUGGGGUCAAAAAUCUCAGCCAUUGGUAUGAGCUGGUGCUUUUCAAACUUUUAGCUCCUUCUCUGGGUAUUCUUUUUUACCUUAGGAGUAUAACUGCCCCCAACAUUUGCUGUGAGUACUUUUUAGUCUACUUAGUAGUCAAUCACAUUUUACCAGUUAAGAACUUUUUCUAUAAAGUUUUCCCCAUUCAAAUUCCUGGUGUGGUUUCUUUUUCUUGACUGGAUCAUGACUGAUUAAAUAACAUAGUUACUGGGCUCCUGUUAGAUACAAUACACUAUGUUAGGUACUGGAGACACAGCAGUAAAGAAGACAGACAAGGUUCCUGUCCUCAACACCCCUACAGUUUCCAUGUAAUAAACAAGUAAAGUGUUAGAUAUGGCAGAGAAACAUUUUUGGGAUGAGAGUCAUGGGUAGGAACAGAAAUGUUCUGUGUAAGAAAGUGACACUUCAACCAAAACUAAAGAUCAGUAGAAACUGUUCAGAUGAAGAAAUACAGAGAAGCAUCUCAUCAAAGAGAACAGUUUGCCCAAGGACUGGGGUUGGGUCAGACUUGAGAGUGGCAGGUGGGAAGACCUGUAGCAUGCAAAGCACACUGCUGAGGGCUGGAAAAAGGGGAGAGACAGGAGCAGGAGGUGGACCUCUGAAGGCACUGACAACUGUGCUCGGGAUUCUGGAUUUUCCCCAGCAUUUGUAAGGACUGUUGCAUCGUUGAAGGGUUGUUAGCAAAGGAGGAAUAUGAUCACAUGCUUAUGUUCUCAUAGUUUAGAAUGGUGGUUCUUAAUCCUGGGUGCACAUUUGAAACACCUAGGAUAUGUAAACAAAACCUUGUUGGUAUGGUCUGAAUAUUGGCGUUCCCCCACCCCCAAAUUCAUAUGUUGGAGCCCAAUACCCAUUGUGGUAGUAUUAAGAGGCGAGGGCUUUGAGAAGCAAUUAAGUUAUGAGAGCUCUACCCUUAUAAAUGGGAUUAGUGCUCUUACAGAAAGGAUUCCAGGGGGAGCUCCCUUGUUCCUUCCACCAUGUGAGGACACAGCUAGGAGAUACCAUCUUGGAAGCGUAGAGCAUCUGCUGGUACCUAGAUCUUGGACUUUACAGCCUCCAGGACUGUGAGCAACAAAUCUCUA